rnacentral:rRNA from 1 species
UUACAAUGGAGAGUUUGAUCCUGGCUCAGGAUGAACGCUAGCGGCAGGCCUAAUACAUGCAAGUCGAACG